rnacentral:rRNA from 1 species
GUGGGGUAAUGGCCUACCAAGGCGACGACGGGUAGCCGGCCUGAGAGGGUGACCGGCCACACUGGGACUGAGAUACGGCCCAGACUCCUACGGGAGGCAGCAGUGGGGAAUAUUGCACAAUGGGCGCAAGCCUGAUGCAGCGACGCCGCGUGAGGGAUGACGGCCUUCGGGUUGUAAACCUCUUUCAAUAGGGACGAAGCGCAAGUGACGGUACCUAUAGAAGAAGGACCGGCCAACUACGUGCCAGCAGCCGCGGUAAUACGUAGGGUCCGAGCGUUGUCCGGAAUUACUGGGCGUAAAGAGCUCGUAGGUGGUUUGUCGCGUUGUUCGUGAAAACUCACAGCUUAACUGUGGGCGUGCGGGCGAUACGGGCAGACUAGAGUACUGCAGGGGAGACUGGAAUUCCUGGUGUAGCGGUGGAAUGCGCAGAUAUCAGGAGGAACACCGGUGGCGAAGGCGGGUCUCUGGGCAGUAACUGACGCUGAGGAGCGAAAGCGUGGGGAGCGAACAGGAUUAGAUACCCUGGUAGUCCACGCCGUAAACGGUGGGUACUAGGUGUGGGUUUCCUUCCUUGGGAUCCGUGCCGUAGCUAACGCAUUAAGUACCCCGCCUGGGGAGUACGGCCGCAAGGCUAAAACUCAAAGAAAUUGACGGGGGCCCGCACAAGCGGCGGAGCAUGUGGAUUAAUUCGAUGCAACGCGAAGAACCUUACCUGGGUUUGACAUGCACAGGACGCCAGUAGAGAUAUUGGUUCCCUUGUGGCCUGUGUGCAGGUGGUGCAUGGCUGUCGUCAGCUCGUGUCGUGAGAUGUUGGGUUAAGUCCCGCAACGAGCGCAACCCUUAUCUUAUGUUGCCAGCGCGUAAUGGCGGGGACUCGUGAGAGACUGCCGGGGUCAACUCGGAGGAAGGUGGGGAUGACGUCAAGUCAUCAUGCCCCUUAUGUCCAGGGCUUCACACAUGCUACAAUGGCCGGUACAAAGGGCUGCGAUGCCGUGAGGUGGAGCGAAUCCUUUCAAAGCCGGUCUCAGUUCGGAUCGGGGUCUGCAACUCGACCCCGUGAAGUCGGAGUCGCUAGUAAUCGCAGAUCAGCAACGCUGCGGUGAAUACGUUCCCGGGCCUUGUACAC